rnacentral:rRNA from 1 species
AGAGUUUGAUCCUGGCUCACAACGAACGCUGGCGGCAGGCCUAAUACAUGCAAGUCGAACGCCCCGCAAGGGGAGUGGCGCACGGGUGAGUAACGCGUGGGGAUGUGCCCUUGGGUACGGAACAACACCGGGAAACUGGUGCUAAUACCGUAUAAUGACUCCGGUCCAAAGAUUUAUCGCCCAAGGAUCAACCCGCGUUGGAUUAGCUAGUUGGUAGGGUAACGGCCUACCAAGGCGACGAUCCAUAGCUGGUCUUAGAGGAUGAUCAGCCACACUGGAACUGAGACACGGUCCAGACUCCUACGGGAGGCAGCAGUAAGGAAUAUUGGACAAUGGGGGAAACCCUGAUCCAGCCAUGCCGCGUGAAUGAAGAAGGCCUUAGGGUUGUAAAGUUCUUUUAGAUGCGAAGAUAAUGACGGUAGCAUCAGAAAAAGCUCCGGCUAACUCCGUGCCAGCAGCCGCGGUAAUACGGAGGGAGCGAGCGUUGUUCGGAAUUACUGGGCGUAAAGCGUGCGCAGGCGGCUAGAUAAGUCAGAAGUGAAAUCCCAG